ensembl:lncRNA
UUUUUUUUUUUUUUUUUUUUUCUGUUUUUAAAAAUGUCAAAUUCACUCUGGAUAAAGGUUUUAAUGUUUUCUCCCUUCUCUUUAUUUGUUAACUGCUUCUUAAAUUUAAUUCUUUCAGAUGUCACUUCCUCUGCAAGGUCUUCUCUGAACACCACAUGCCAUGCACCAUAUAGGAUCUCCCUGUACAUAUUCUCACAGUACCCUUUCACUGACUCUCAUUCCAUGUCUAUCUCAUUAUUUGAAUAAUGUCUGCUACCCCUCCCGACUACCAAAUAAAGAUCAGAACCAUGCCUGUUUUCCUGACGAAGGAAUCCCCAGCACUUUGUGACAUUCCUGGUAUGUGAUUUUUUACACAACUACUUCCCAUAGAAGGCUAAAAAUCCAUUGAAUUCAUUCAUUCAUUUUGUUUCCCUGCCAAGUCUUGCAUGUGCAAAUACUCAUUAAAUAUGUCCAAGCAGUCAAACAAGAGUUAAUUGCAAUGAAAAAUCUAAUAGAAAAUAUCUAGACGGUCACAUGGUUUCUACAAUCUUUCCCCAACACUACAUGUUAGCUUUGUUCACCACGGCAUCCCCUUUGCCUAGAAUGAUGUCUGGCACAGCCAUUUUUUGCUGACUUAAUAGGUAAAUGAUUAAAUGAAUGUAAAAUUGUAAUGAAUUAUGGUCCAAUCUAUACCUUAAGUUUAUAAGUUUACAAGGCAAAUCUCAAAAAAUUAGAACAAUAGCUUCUACGAUGAUUCUAAAAGGCAAGGAGAUUAUUUCAAGGGAACUUCUGGCUCUUACUGUAACCUAUAAUAUGAGGAAGUUAAUGAAGAGGUACUUUUAGGAACCAAGGUGGCAUAACAAGUUCAAAUUCAAAAAGUUAUGAAUAAUAAGUGAAAGAUCUGCACAUGACUAAGUACACAUGUGAAAGCAUGAGCAUCACUUAAGAUAUGCUAUAGUGAAGGAAACAUAAAAUAUAAGAAAAUAAAAAGAAAAGAAUUUUAAAUUAUACAUAUAUGGAGCUAUGAGAAACACAUGAAACAGAAUUUAAGAUCAUGCCUUAACAUACAGAGCUUAAAAUCAUCAACACCAUUAACCACUAAAUAAAUGCAAAUUAAAAACACAAUAAGAUAUUACUGCAUGCCCACUAGAAUGGCUAAAAGAGUAAGGUAGAUAUUAGCAAGCACUGGUGAAAAUAUGGAUCAACCAGACCUCUUAUAUACUGUUGGUGGGAAUGUAAUAAUGUAUAACCAUUUUGGAAAAUAUUUGGCGGUUUUUAAAUCAAAUUAAACAUAAACUUACAUUAUGAUUCACUCAACUUUUGAGUAUUUACACAGAGAAAUGAAAAUUUAUAUCUACGAAGUGAUUUGUACUUGAAAAUUCACAGCAGCUUUCUUUCUAAUGGUCCAAACUGAAAGUGGCUCAAAUACUCAUCAAUAGGUCAGCAGAUAAACAAAUCAUGGCAUGCAAUGGAAUGCUUCUCAAAAAAUAAGAGAAAUGGAUUACAUAUACAUUUCACAACAUGAACAGGCCUCAAAAAUAUUUAAGUGAAAGAAGUCAGAAUAAAAGACUACAUGCUAUUGCUAUGAAAUUCUAGAAAAUCCAAAACUAAAUUAUAGUGACAGAAAUUAGAUCAGAGUUGCCUGGAGUGGGUUAUAGUCCACUUAUAAACUUAUUUAUUAUUGGGAAAGGACAAAACAAAAUGUUUUUGAAUGAUGGAAAUGUUUUACAUCUAAUAUGUGGUGGUGGUUAUAUGGCUAUAUACAUUGGUCAAACGUAUUUCACUGUAAGUUAGAAAUAAGUAUAUUAAAUACUAAUAAAAAAAAGCAAAAAUUAACCGAGAUCUAAUUAAACUUAAAAGCUUUUGCAUAGCAAAAGAAACCAUAAACAAAGUGAAAAGACAACCUAUGGAAUGGAAGAAAAUAGCUGCAAAUGAUGGGACCAACAAGGAAUGAAUUUCCAGAAUAUAUAAACAGCUCAUAUAUGUCCGUAUCAAAACAACAACCCAAUCAAAAAAUGGGCAGAAGACCUAAAUAAACAUUUCUCCACAGAAAACAUAUAGAUGGCCAAUAGGUACAUGAAAAGAUGCUCAACAUCACCAAUUAUUAGAGAAAUGCAAAUUAAAACUACAAUGAAGUACCACCUCACACCACUUAGAAUGGCCAUCAACAAAAAGUCUACUUUUUAUCAUAAAUGCUGGAGAAGUUGGGGAGAAAAGAGAACUCUCCUACACAUUUGAUGGAAAUGUAAAUUAGUGCAGCCAUAUGGAAAACAAUGUGGAGUUCCCUUAAAAAAAUUAAAAGUAGACUUACCGUAUGAUUCAGCAAUCCCACUCCUGGAAAAGGCAAAAACUCUAAUUUGAAAAGAUACAUGCACCCCAAUGUCAGCAGCACUAUUUACAGUUUUGAAGACAUGGGAGUAAUUUAAACGUCCAUCGACAGAAUGAAUAAAGAAGAUGUGGUGUGUAUAUACAUGUGUGUGUGUGUGUGCCUAUAUACAAAUAUUUGAAUUAUAUACAUACUGUAUGUGAAUAACUAAGAUGUGAUGUAUGUGUGUAUACAUAUAUGUGCAUACAUAUACACAUAAUAGAAUUUUUUCAGCCAUAAAAAAGAAUGAAAUAAUGCUAUUUGCAGCAACACAGAUGGACCUAGAGAUUAUCACACUAAAUGAAGUCAGACUAAGACAAAUAACAUAUGAUACUUCUUUUAUGUGAAAUCUAAAAUUGUGCUUCAGAUGAUCUUAUUUACAAAACAGAGAUAAACUCACAGACAUAGAAAAUAAACUUAUGGUUACCGAAGUGGAAGGGCAGUGGUUAAAUUAGGUGUUUGGAAUUAACAGGUACACACUACAGAUAUAUAUAAAACAGGUUAACAGCAAGAACCUAUUGUAUAGCUCAGGAAACUAUAUUCAACAUCUUGUAAUAACCUAUAAAGGAAAAGAAUCUGAAAAAGAUAUGUGUAUAUAUCUGAAUCGCUUUGCUAUAUACCUGAAACACAGUACUGUAAAUCAACAAAUUUUCAAUUUUAAAAAAUUAUAAAGAAAAUAAUUUGAUAUUUAAUAUUUACAUUUAAAUAAGUGAGGAAAUAGCCCAGGAUUCUGAAUGAGUGCAUUAAUAUCACUGCAUGCAAACUGUACUCCAAUAAAUUUUAUGAAAAGUUUAUAUAUUAGCUGAGAACAGAAAAAAGAAAUCCUUAACUUCUAUUUUAUUUCCACUCUUAAGGGACAUUUAGUAUAUUUAACAUUGAUAGAAAAUAAUCUAAAUCAAGUUUGGUAAGAAGAUUGUUCAAAAACAUCUAGGUAUUCCAAAUUGUACCUCAUGAAUUUUGGUCAAGGUUCUUCAAUGCCAAAAGAAGAAUCCAUUCUACUAUUUUAAUCCAUUCUAUGGACUGAACUCUGCCCCCCCCCCCAAAUUCCUAUGCUGAAGCCCUAAACGCUAACGUGACUUAUUUGGAGAUGGGGCCUUUAGAGAAGUAAUGAAGGUUAUUAGAGUAGAGCCCUCAUCCAAUACAAUUAAUGUCCAUGUAGGAAGAGAAACCAGGAGUUCCCACUGUGGCUCAGCGAAAAAGAAUCUGACUGGUAUCCAUGAGGACACAGGUUCAAUUGCUGGUCUCGCUCAGCAGGUUAAGGAUCCGGUGUUGCAUUUUGUUAUGGCAGCCUGAUCAUAUUAAGACAAACUGAAAUUCUUUUUUCAUAGGGUACGUGAUUGCUUAUAGAUUCUCUGGUAGGGCCAAGAAAUCAGUUUUGGUUGCCACCCAGGGAUCUGCUACUUAAACCUCUAUCAGAUCAUCCCAGAGAAACCAAGUAUCUCCUGCACAUGUUUACAAGAGCCAACCUUUCCAUGUGGUCACUGCCUCUGUUACCUCCUUUCAUGUUUCCCAUGGGAGUGUCUGCCUGGGAGAGCCGACAGAAUCCAGUCCACCAGCACGCCCAGAUCCCUGUUAGUAAGACCUCUGAGCUGCUUUCAGGGUACUUCAAGAAGUUCUUCAAAGAAAAAUUGAAGAAAAACUGAAAAUACUCUAUAACUAAAAGGGAGAUCAAAGACUCACAGUAAGCCUGAUGUUCCUUUGCCAAAUUUCAAAGAAGUCUAUUAAGAGGCUAAUUUUUCCCCUUUAAUGGGGAAAAAAAGUAGUAAUCACUAAAGAUUACACAGUUUUAUCAUGAACUAGGUUUCUCAGAAUAGUAUGACUGACUGAUCCAGAAUGACAUGCAAGAGUCUUCCCUACUGCAACUAGCACAGGACGAAUAAAUAUGAAACAGGUUCAAAAAGGAAAGUUUAUUGACUGAUUGAAAGCAUCACAAAAGGAAAUUUCUAUGUACCAGCCAUGAGAAAUAUUUUUUAAUAUGAACACAAACAUACACACCCCAGCUUGACAAAUUUGCAAAUGACACAGUUGUAGAAGCAUAAGUUAAAGAGAUGGCCUCUAACACUGUUUUUGUUUGUUUGUUUUGUUUUGUUUUUUUUGUGGGGUUUUUUGUUUUUUUCCCCCUGCAUCUUUAACUGGUGGACUUCACUUUUGCUACACCAUGCCCAUAUCACCCACCUUGAAACUUGUUAAGUGUUCUCAGCUGGAAUGAAAAGAUCACCUCCACAAUGUAUCUGUUUGAUCUCAGGCAAUCCAUUUCACCUCUAUGGGCCUAUGGUUUAUCAUUUGAACACAAGGAUCAUUUCCAAGGACCAUUUCAGCUCUCAAUUCCCAUGAUUCUUAGAGGGUCUGGCAGCACUUCCGUUUUCUCCAAGAAAACAGUUUUUAAUCUGCUCUUACCUAUGAGUUUUAUGAGGCUAUCCUAUCGAUAUGUUACUGAGCACUUGGAAAUUGUUGGUUACAAAGUAAAAAUAAAGAAUAAAGCAGCUUUUCUGAAACAUCUUUGUUAAGACCCCAGCUUACAGCAUUGUACCAUUUGCUAUACCCAGGAAAUGAUUUAAAAUCAAGUAAAAUCAAACAAACAAAAAACUGGAGGAAGGAGAAAGAAUGUGGAAGAUUACUAGCUGUGUUUGAAAUCUUUUAGUGAUUAGCCCACUCCUAGAACUUUUAAUAAGAACGAUCUUUAGCUUGUGUGUUCAAAUCCCUCUAAUGCAAGUACCAGAGAAGACUUAAACUGAAAUGAAUCUAAUGAGGGUGGAAGAAAUUCUGGUAACCUUUCAGACUGUGUCCAUCCAUGGCUGGCAUGAGAAAGUGUCACCAUCCAAUCUUCCCUUCUUUCUUAGUUCAAUCCUUAUCACAGUAAGUGCUGCCUUGAUAUUUAACCAAAAUGCAAUGACAUUUUGGGCUCUCUGCAAUUAGACCAACUGGCUAUUUUUAUUACUUCAUUUUAUGACUUUCAGAAAAACCAACUCACCUGUGAUGUGGAAUUUUGAAAGAGGUACAGCAGAUCAUGUGGAAAAUGACAUUAAGCAUGAAUAAUUUACAUCUUGAUAUCAGGUAUACAACAAUAAUUAGAAAUUUUUAUCAGGGGUGAUAAAAAGUGAGAACAGAGUUGUUUUGUUUGAAUUUCAGUUGCAGUUCUUUCACAGAUUCCAAAUCCUAAGGUUCUGGUAAACACACUUCCCUUUAAUCAUCUCUGCAUGAGCACAGUCUUGCUAGUUCAAAACUAAUAAACACCUAUGGUCUACAUUACUUGUUCAGAUGAUGCAUUUAUUCUCAGGCUUAUUGUGAGAAUGCUGACAAACCUCUGUUGCAUAACCUUACAGAGUCUGGACACGAGAAAGUUAAUCAGAAUAAGUAGAAAUAAUGAAUCCUCAAACUCAUUUCCAAAAUUAGAAGCCAUCUACCUACAAUUUAUAUUCAAUGUUUCUG